rnacentral:rRNA from 1 species
UACAGAGGGUGCGAGCGUUGUCCGGAAUCACUGGGCGUAAAGGGCGCGUAGGCGGCCUGAUAAGUAGGGGGUGAAAUCCUGCGGCUCAACCGCAGGGCUGCCUUCUAAACUGUCAGGCUGGAGCACGGUAGAGGCAGAUGGAAUUCCCGGUGUAGCGGUGGAAUGCGUAGAGAUCCGGAAGAACACCGGAGGCGAAGGCGGCAUCCUGGACCGACACUGACGCUGACGAGCGAAAGCCAGGGGAGCAAACGGG